GAGAUUGAACGCUUAAGCGGCAGGGCCUUAACACAUUGCAAGUCGAGGGGGUAGAGUUCUUCGGGGACUUUGAGAACCGGCGCACGGGUGCGUAACGCGUAUGCAAUCUACCUUAUACAGGGGGAAUUAGCCCCAGAGAAAUUUGGAUUAAUGCCCCAUAGUAUUAUGAAAUCGCAUGGUUUUAUAAUUAAAGUUCCAACGGUAUAAGAUGAGCAUGCGUCCCAUUAGUUAGUUGGUAAGGUAACGGCUUACCAAGACAAUGAUGGGUAGGGGUCCUGAGAGGGAGAUCCCCCACACUGGUACUGAGACACGGACCAGACUCCUACGGGAGGCAGCAGUGAGGAAUAUUGGUCAAUGGUCGCAAGACUGAACCAGCCAUGCCGCGUGCAGGAAGACGGUCCUAUGGAUUGUAAACUGCUUUUAUACAGGAAGAAACCCUCCCACGUGUGGGAGCUUGACGGUACUGUAGGAAUAAGGAUCGGCUAACUCCGUG
rnacentral:rRNA from 1 species